GCCAGCAGUGAUAGCACACUGAAUGCACCAGUUCCGAUGGAUCAUUGAAGUUAAGAAACGUUGCUUAUGGUCAUCCCGAUCGGUGACCAUCUGGCCUCUUGCGUGCUGCUGGUU
rnacentral:rRNA from 1 species